AGACGUCUACGUCGGGAGUCCGGUUCAAAUGCAACCUCUGGUCCCGAAGGCUAUAGCUCUGGUCUCAAAAGGGAUCUCUGCAAAGGCGUUUGCUCUGGAGUAAAACGUGAAGCGGGUCUUUUUCAUUGAUACGUUGCGGCCAGUGGUCGAUCCGGGAUACUUCAUGGUAGUGGUUACUUCUGCGGUUGUU
rnacentral:rRNA from 1 species